rnacentral:lncRNA from 1 species
GCCCAGUCACUUCCUGUCUUCGCGGGUCUAAGGGAAAAUAGCACCUGUUUUUUCAACAAAGUCGCUUAAUUUGCCCACUUUUCGUUCGCUGAUGCGGAGGUAAUCGCUGUCACAGUCAGGUGGGCAGGCUGUGAGAAUGGGCUCUAAUUAUAUUCAUGUUUUGUACCUGGAAACAACGUAAAAGGCGCUGGUGUUGGACUGACUAAAGGGACACAGCUAGCCUGAACUGCGUCAGUGAGAUGGGCCGAUAUAAUUGCUCAGCACACCCACAGAUGUCCUCAAGUAACGGCUCACUCAUUGUUCUACUGGUCAAUCAGCAAAGGAAAUCGAUGCAUUUGGGGUCACUUUGAAGAGCAGAAGUGGAGAGCAACACAAUGUUAAACACUAAAUCACUUUUAAGAUGGAGUUGUAGAGCAUGAAGGCGAGGCCACAGCAGAAGGACGAGCGAUGAAGAACUGGGAGAAGACCUACACCAGCAAGUGGUGAAGGCGGUGGACAAGACCGUGUUGAAGAAAUGGAAGUCGUACUUUUAAAUACAGGAUGACAUUUGUGCAAAAAAGAAAAGCUUAAUAAAACAUUUGUAAAGAGUCUCAUUCAUCUAAAUAUUUCAAAUGAAGUUCUGGAUGUAAUUCAGUGUUAAACGUAUACUAGCAUUACAUAUUUAAGUAGAAAGAUUCACAGAGAGGUACAAG